rnacentral:rRNA from 1 species
ACGAACGCUGGCGGCGUGCUUAACACAUGCAAGUCGAACGAUGAAGAAGAGAAACGCGAACUUCGGUUCAAAUUUCACUUCGGAUUAGUGGCAGACGGGUGAGUAACGCGUGAGCAACCUACCUCUUACAAAGGGAUAGCCUCGGGAAACCGUGAUUAAUACCAUAUGACACAUUCAUAAGGCAUCUUAAGAAUGUUAAAGCUACGGCGGUAAGAGAUGGGCUCGCGUCCCAUUAGCUAGUUGGUGAGGUAACGGCCCACCAAGGCGACGAUGGGUAACCGCCCGGAGAGGGGGACGGGUAACAGUGAAACGGAGCCCCGGUCCAACCCCCUAGGGGAGGAGGCAGGGGGAAAUAUGGCAAAAGGGGGGGACCUCGGAGGCGGCGCCGCCGGGGGAGCAAUAAAGGAAUUCUUUUCGAAAAGCUUUGUUCUAUGGAAAAAAAAGGACUGAACCAUAGGAGAAACCCCCGGAAAAAUACGUG